rnacentral:rRNA from 1 species
AGUGAACGCUGGCGGUAGGCCUAACACAUGCAAGUCGAACGGCAGCACAGUAAGAGCUUGCUCUUACGGGUGGCGAGUGGCGGACGGGUGAGGAAUACAUCGGAAUCUACUUUUUCGUGGGGGAUAACGUAGGGAAACUUACGCUAAUACCGCAUACGACCUACGGGUGAAAGCAGGGGAUCUUCGGACCUUGCGCGAUUGAAUGAGCCGAUGUCGGAUUAGCUAGUUGGCGGGGUAAAGGCCCACCAAGGCGACGAUCCGUAGCUGGUCUGAGAGGAUGAUCAGCCACACUGGAACUGAGACACGGUCCAGACUCCUACGGGAAGCAGCAGUGGGGAAUAUUGGACAAUGGGCGCAAGCCUGAUCCAGCCAUACCGCGUGAGUGAAGAAGGCCUUCGGGUUGUAAAGCCCUUUUGUUGGGAAAGAAAAGCAGCAGGUUAAUACCCCGCUGUUCUGACGGUACCCAAAGAAUAAGCACCGGCUAACUUCGUG